GCUGGGCCUGGGUGAAGGAUCAGCAAGAAGGAACCUCCAGGGACGACCAUAUCUCUCUGACUGAGCAGAGCACAGAAGCACUGGGCACCUAUGGAGACACAGGCUAACCAGGCAAGCUGCUCAUACUGCUGUUCCCGCUCCAGCUGCUGUGUAUCCUGGGAGUAUGUCCAUGCAGUGUUCACGACCACAAACUGAGCAGUUGAGUUUCCCACACCUGGAGGGCUAUGGCUGAGCCUUAGGAAGCCACGCUUAUGAUCACAGUGUCUCCCCUGCCAGGUACCCAGGAUGAAUCAAACUGAACGUGCUGCUGGUGGUUCCCACAACAUAGGAGAGGGCCUGCUUGAGAACAGCAGCUUCUCAGGGGAUGCUGGACCAAAAGCCAGAGAGUCGCUGACUCCUGACUGCAAGCGAAUGCCUGGAUCAAAGCUUGGAGUUCUCCCCACCUCUGCCAAGGACAACCUU